rnacentral:rRNA from 1 species
GAAUUCACUAGUGAUUGCCAGCAGCCGCGGUAAUACGGAGGGUGCAAGCGUUACUCGGAAUCACUGGGCGUAAAGCGCGCGCAGGCGGCUAUUUAAGUUGGAUGUGAAAGCCUACGGCUCAACCGUAGAACUGCAUCCAAAACUAUUUAGCUAGAGUGUGGGAGAGGAAGAUGGAAUUAGUUGUGUAGGGGUAAAAUCCGUAGAGAUAACUAGGAAUACCAAAAGCGAAGGCAAUCUUCUGGAACACUACUGACGCUGAGGCGCGAAAGCGUGGGGAGCAAACAGGAUUAGAUACCCUGGUAGUCCACGCAGUAAACGAUGAAUGUUAGUCGUCGGGGGGCUCGUCCUUUCGGUGAUGCAGCUAACGCAUUAAACAUUCCGCCUGGGGAGUACGGUCGCAAGAUUAAAACUCAAAGGAAUAGACGGGGACCCGCACAAGUGGUGGAGCAUGUGGUUUAAUUCGAAAAUACGCGAAGAACCUUACCUGGCCUUGACAUUGAGAGAAUCCUUUAGAGAUAGAGGAGUGCCUUCGGGAGCUCGAAAACAGGUGCUGCACGGCUGUCGUCAGCUCGUGUCGUGAGAUGUUGGGUUAAGUCCCGCAACGAGCGCAACCCUCGUCACUAGUUACUAACGGUUCGGCCGAGGACUCUAGUGAGACUGCCUUCGCAAGGAGGAGGAAGGUGAGGACGACGUCAAGUCAUCAUGGCCCUUACGGCCAGGGCAACACACGUGCUACAAUGGUUGGGACAAUGAGACGCGAUACCGCGAGGUGGAGCAAAUCUAUAAACCCAAUCUCAGUUCGGAUAGCAGUCUGCAACUCGACUGCUUGAAGCUGGAAUCACUAGUAAUCGUAGAUCAGCUAUGCUACGGUGAAUACGUUCCCGGGUCUUGUACUCACCGCCCGUCACACCAUGGGAGUUGAUUUCACCCGAAGCGGGGA